UCCAGUAUUGCAUUGCUGCUUU
rnacentral:miRNA from 1 species